GUCGACGGCGCGCUUUACCGGCGCGACGCCGUUGCCGGUGACGUUUACUCCGACCGCGAUAGAUCGACGUCGGUCGGCAGUGACGAUUGUUUACACGAUGGCGUCCGGCGGUGAAAACGCGACCGAGGAACGGACGGAAGCGUCAACGCCGGCUCAACCCGUCGCCAAUGCCGUAUCCGAGGCUACCCACAAAGUAAUAGGGAUGGACAAGGAUGGCGAUCUAUCUGGCGUACCGGCGAAGAAACCCCGUGUCGAAGUACAAUCUCUUCCAACCAGGCAGUAUUUAGAUCAGACAGUAGUGCCGAUAUUAUUGCAAGCAUUGUCCUGCCUAGCCAAAGAAAGGCCUGCCGAUCCCAUAAGCUUUCUCGCCGGUUAUUUGUUGAGAAACAAGAGCCAAUACGACAGCGGUGGCUCGCCGCCGACUAGUCAAUGAAUGAAUGCUUCCACGUGUUCCCGUGCACUUGUUUUAUGGAAAGUUUCAAGAACAUUUCUUCCCGUUCGAUUGCACUUGAGAUACGUAGUUCGAGAGCUCAGCAAGUCGAGCUGUUUGUGAUAUACAACAUCCUUUGUAAAGCUCAAUUAAGGAAUCGCGACUGUUAAACCGGAUUGCGGAGCGCUUUUGGCAACUGAAAGGUGUAUUAUGCACGGUAGAAAUCACGGAUUUAUAAAGCGGUUUUUUUAAGUCAGUGAGUGACAGAGAAAGAGGUAGAAACAGCGGUAAAAGAAGAAAUCGCUGACGUUCCCGAUCGGCCAGAAUAAGAAUACAAGUCUUGGGAAACGCGGCGGUAUUUUUAGAGAUUCUCUUCACCGAUGCGGCACGGGAUUAUAUAAAAUGUUUCUACAUAACCGAGAACUCUCCGUCGCAGCUCUCUGCUUCGGCGGGGUGUCGGGGAAAAGCGCUUACCCGGCAGAUUCGCGCGCGCUGGGCUAAAGCCCUCCUUUCUCUCGUAUUUUUUCGUCGCUUGAGUUUUAUCUGAUAACGGCAGAAAUAUUUUUCGGCCUCGACCGCGAAAGGUGAUACACGAUCUUUUGUUGUCACAGCAGAAAGCCAAAGCAAUAAAUCGGUGUGAAUUCGAGUCUCUAUAUAUUUUUACGAUUAACUGUCCUUCGGAUCUUUCCAACUUCCUGAUAGUCGUCGCAAACGAAAGUUUGCGGUUUUUUUACACGUAAAAGUUAAUAAUGUAAUAUUGAAAUUCAAAUCUCACUUUGUUUAUCUGAUAAAGUUAAUUCUUCGCGUUAUUUCCACGAUACGUUUGAUUUGGAUCAUUGCAUGCAUGCAAAUUACAACCUAGUUAUCUCAAUAUUGGAUCGUAAAUAAUCCAAUAACCGCGGUAAUACAAAUAAUUACCUAUACCGAAGUGUUCGAAUAUUUGAAUUUCGGAAUAGAGCUGUGCCGGCCGUCGCAACGUUCGCCAAACAUCCGAAUAUCCGAAUGACUUGAAAAUUCGCUUUUGUGGACACAGAGGAGAAUUUCCCACUCACCCUUUGAUUCAUCGCAUAACGUAACGCGAGGAGAGAUAAUCACGGGAAAGCGCUGGUAGGCGCUUUUGAACGGGUUAAUUCGCGAAGUGGCAUUAUUUCCGGCGAGAUAGCCACGCUUCGGGGGAGGGUCACUUCGUUAUCGGGUAACGCGCGCAGUCAACAACGGCGACCUCCGGUCCUACCGCGCAACGCUGGCAACUUAAAUAUUUGUCGGAGAUUAUAUUCAUAUCCUGGGUUUCGCGGGGCGACUUUUUAAUCAGCUUGUCGGCGUUCAUGCUCCCGCGUUCUCUUCCUUCUCUCUCUCUCUCUCUCUCUUUCUCUCUUUGCCCUCCGUUCCGCCGAAUUAUCCCGCGGGCCCGCCGCCGCAGAUUUUCAUUUCAGAUUUGGCUGCGGUACUCUCCGCGCGGGCUUUGCGGGAGAAAAUAGAAGUUCGCUCCCUCCUCCCCAUCCCUCUUUCUCUCUCUUUUGAUUUCAAUCUGUUUGACGGUCUACCAUCUACCAUCUCGUACCAUAGCUGCUCUCUGAGCGUGUGGCGACGACGGGCGUCUCGGCGCGGAGAGAAGACAACGAGAGACAAGACUCAUGACGGAGUGUGUGUGUGUGUGUGUGUGUGAGAGAGAGAGAGAAAGACGCACGUUAUCGGGUUGCGGCAUCGCUCGAACAUCUCAGGCUUCGUCCCAUUUUCUUCCUGCGUUCGCGAGAUCGAGUCCUCCGCCAGACUCUUACUUCGGAAGACUCCUCGAAGGUCGCCCAGGCGUAAUUGCAGAAAUCACUCAUGUUACCUCCCGAACGAUCUAUCUAUCGAGUUCUCAGCUCCGGAAAAAUCUUCGCAAUCUCGAUCUCUAAUUUUCUUCGAACUUUUCUACCAAUCUUAUCGCUUGAUCGAUUCUUGUAUCUAUUUAUAAGGAAUUUGUCAUACAAAUAUGUAGCGAUUCGAUCCAGUAGUAUUUUUGACGUAACCAUAAAUAAUUUACGUUAUAUUGUAUUGUAAAUUAUUAUUAUAUAUUUCUUCCGAGAGAGAGAGAGAGAGAGAGAAUGAGAGGGAGGGCAUAAAAAAUUUGUUUACUUUAGUAGCAACAUGAAAAUGUUAUGUUACUUUAUUUGUAAGCUGAGAAUUGUUAAAAUAAAACGGCAUACAGACGUGAUUUAAAAAAUUUUACUGAAUGUAUAAAAAUAAUAUGUGCGUCAUAAAGUCUUUUGUUAUCAAUUAUAUUUAAAAUUUGUUUAUCACUGUAUCAGUUAGAGCAAGAUGUUAAUUUAAUUUUGUUUUAUUUAAAAGCCAUUUAUAUAUAUGUAUAUUUAAAGUCAUAGAAUCUGGGAUGGAAUAUAUAAUUGGAUGCUGCACGACUCGUUUAAUUAAUUUCGGCUGUAAGUUAGAAGCAUCAUUUAUAGAUAUUGUCUUUUUAAAGUAUCUGAAAUCGAUACUAUCGUAUCGCAAAAUAAUGGCACGUGAUUAUGAUUGGGAAAAUAUUUCAAAGCGUACACACUGUACUAUCGCAGCGGGAUAUUAUUACCCGGUCGUGAGCUCGUAAAAUUCGAUCUUGCGAACGAAAUUGCGAUCAGCGGAAAGACUUUUCGAAAAAACGCGUGCGACAAGAACGUUUUCGGGUCGUCGUCUAACGGCUGCAGCUUUAUCGGAAAUAAAUAUUUUUUUCUUUUGCAGUCACGUGUAUCGUUAUACAGCAAAGAGCGGUUAGUGAGGCGAUACCGAUAUCGCCUGCACGGCCUGCAUCGAUGAAACAUUCCUGCGAAACAUUACCUUUCUUUCAAUGGAGCUUAAUGCGCAGAUCCACCCCCGUGGGCUUCGGUUUUCGAUCGAGGGAGUUCUCCUCCGCCUUUAUCCUACCCACCCUUUAUCGUCUUCCCUCCGGCAGCAGGUCGGCGUCUCUCGGCAAAGCGCUUAAUCCUCCAACGAGUCGAAAACCCCGAUGGUAUUACCGCAAACGUUGAUUUGUGGUAGUGGUACCGGACAUUAUUUAUAAUUUGCGGGUAUUAAUAGUCGGGCUUGUAUUCUUGCGUACAGCAUCUACUCCCUUGACUCUCCCCAUCUACCUUUCUUCGUCCAUUUUCGUCGUUAUUCUUACCUUCGCCUUGCCUCUUUUUCAUAGAUAUAGCAUCUUCAGAACGGGAUCAAUAUAUAUUAAACAUGGUGAUAUAUACGAAACUUUUAAUCUUGAAUAAUACAGUAUUUUAUUAAUUUAUUUUGUAGUUAAUUAUUUUUUAACUCUUACAAUUUAUUUAUAAUUUAUUUAUAAUUCAAACAGGAUUUAUCAGAUCUCCAUUCUGAUUUUACAUAUAAUUAAUAUUUAAAUUAAUGCAUAAAAAGUUAUAGAUAUAAUGUUUAAAUAUAUUAAUUAAUAUAGGAAGACCGAAAAAAAAGAAAAAUGUAGAUUAUUAUACUGUUUUGGGGCCUUAUUUCACAAAUAUUUACUUUUGAUUAUGUUGCAAAAACAUUAAUUACUUUAAAAUAUAAAACUUAUUAUUAUAAAAAAAUGCUAUUUUAUUUGAUAGAAGGUAUUUUCUAAUUUACAUUUAUUAAUGUUUUUAAAAUUUUGUUAAAAAAAUUUUUUGUUUAAGAAAUACUAGGUGAUAUGUCAGUAUUAUAUAUAUAGUGAUCUUUCUUAUAAUAUUUUAUAAUUUUCUAUAUGAGAGCUGUUUAUAAUCUUAUGAUAUAUGUUAGUUAAUAUUGGAUGUAUAUAGUUAUUACAAUUUUUAAAAUAACUGAAAUGUAUAUCUGACCAUGUUUAUGUACGUGGUAUUAAACAUUUUUGUAUAUCGUUUAAUAAAUAAAUUAAAAAUAUGUUAACGCUAAAAUAUUUUCACGGCUAUUUUGCAACAUAGCAGGUAAAUUUCUAUUAAAUUGUAAAUUUAAAAUAUGUUUACAUGUCACAUUCAGAAAUAGCAACAAUGUUACAUGGUUCGUUUACUUUGGGGCCGACAUUUGAAUAGUUGGAAAAUUGAACGUGCUCGAUACGAUUAUAAUAAUUAUUUGUUUCUUGCCGUUCCGCUCGAUCGUGGACGGUUUUCAGGCCGCAUUUUAAACCCUGGAACUUCUUGCAUAUGUAUGAGUCGUCACGUUUCGUUUUCGUCCCUUUCUCCGCGUUACUCGCGUUAUUCGUCGCAUCCCUCGUCUUCGCUCGAGCGAAAGCGCGGAGAGUAUCGAAAACGAUGGAAAACCACGCGGCGUGCGAGCGCGUAGCGUCUCGGCUCUGCGAAUACGUUAUUUCUUCGGACUGUUAUUUUCGCGGACUGGAAUUCACGGAUAUGGCGCAUAGAUAACGGGACCAGAUUUCGCCGUCGCGCCAUACCUUACCGCGGAAUAAUACCUUACCGUCGUAUAACUCACUACCAGCGAACCGAUAUUUUUGUCCGAAAACCACGCACAGCGUUGGACGCGUCUGCUGCAGUUCGCUGCUUUUCUACUUGCGCCCUUGUUGUGACCGCCGCAUUGUCGCUGGAUGAAUUUUCGAGGUUUAAGAAGGUUCUUCAGUCUUUUCACAUAAUAUAAGAACGCGAUUAAAUUUGGAGAAGUUUAUGAUUAACGGGGCGUUCACUUUUGAAAGGUAAAAAAGAUGAUCUUCGAGAUUCUUUUUUAGAAAGUACGCAAAUACUAAUUAAUAAUAAACUUUGGAUACUCCUUUACUGUUAUUUUAAUAAUAUUUAUUUUAAUAAACAUUUUAAAACUAAAAACUGUUAUUUUUAUGUGUGUUAUACACUGAUUACUAGCAGAUUGCAAAAAAAAGCGUAAAGACGACGAGAUAAAUGGCAGCUCUUCUGGACAUAAAACAAAACAAAAAUAAAAAUUAUUUGUAUUCUUGAGAGUGACUAUCGUUUGAUUAAAUAAAAAUACUAACAUUUGACAAAUUAUUCUAGAGAGAUACAAGAAAUUUUUUAAAAUUUAUGUGAAAUCUUUUAAUGGCUUUUUUAUAAACAAAAAUAAAUCAAUAAUAAUGAUUCUAACAAAGUUUUAACAAAGAAAGGACAUAUGAUGUACUUGCAAAUAAAAAUUCAUGUCGAUAUUUCUAAUAGUUUUCAAGUUUGCCUAAUAGUAUAAAAACACAGUUAAAAAAAAAUAAUUUUAAAGUUUUAAGUAUUCUUAGACUUUCUUUCCGUACUAAUCUUCUUUCUUUCAAAUAAAAUCUAUUAUUUUGUAUUAUUUUUAUAUUUAAUUAGUUUCACAAUAAAAGGAUGCGCUGGUAAUUACAUUCUGAAAAUAGCAUAAAUGCAGUAAGAUAGAAAAGUAAAUAUAGCAGCUUUAUCGAAUUUUUAAAGUGUGUCACUGUAUUAUUAGAUGUAUCUCUUCGACAAAACGCUUCAAUGUUUCGAUGGGUGCGCUUAAAUAUUUAGAGUUAAGUUGCGCCUCGUAAAAUGUUAACAAGCACGGGAAGCUGGUAAUGAAAAUGGCUGUUGCUCCGCUUCCGUCUUUCUUCCUCAACUUGGCGUAUUACGUAUUUUGCAGCGCCGUGCCGAGAGUGCCAGUCUUCUGUCACAUUGCAAAAGACCAAAACAAAUUAGUGGAUGUAAUGUAAUUGCACAGCGCCAAUUUAUUUCUGCUGCGCGGCGAAGCGCAACUUCGCGUUUCGGGCGUUCCGCCGUAAAUGAAAUUAAGAUCAGCACGAAAUGGGGAACGGUCGCGAUUCAUACGCGGAGAUAACGAGCGAUCAUACCUUUGCGAGUUAGGUGAAAUGUCAGUGGAGGAAAAAUGAGUCCGACAAUCUCUUACCUAUAAUACCGCGAGCCGGAAACGAUUGGUCUUGAUUGAAUUGUACAUACAGAAUUGAUUCCCUGUCAAUAUCCACUGCAUUCGCUUUUCCUGACAUUCAGAUUAAAUAACGUGAUCUAUUUCCUUAUUCUAGGUACGAGCUGUCCGCAUCUUUUCUCUAUCGACAGCAAAUUCUUUGACGAAUAUUGAAUAAAUUUUUUGUUAUUUGCUGGAAUAUUUCUCUUUUAUUCUUUAAUGCUUGUUAUCUUGUCAAUUAAUAAUUACCUGUUCAAGAUAAAAAUGGAGAUUUGUUUCAUAUAGAAGCAAAUAUAUAAAAAAGUAUAUGUUUUCUUUUGAAAAAUUGAUAAUCUCAAAUUUCAGCAAAAUAUAAUAUUUUUUAAUAUUCCAACAUUAUAAUAGUUAUCUCAAAAGAGCAAAAUAUAAUCGUUGUAAUAACAAAAUUAAAAGUUCCAAUUUUUGAUUUAAAGAUUUGAUUGUUACUUAUUCGAUUUUUUCCUUCUACUUAUAAUAACAAAUUAUUAUUGAAAAUAAAAAUAAAAA